rnacentral:rRNA from 1 species
CCUACGGGAGGCAGCAGUGGGGAAUAUUGCACAAUGGGCGAAAGCCUGAUGCAGCAACGCCGCGUGAGCGAUGAAGGCCUUCGGGUCGUAAAGCUCUGUCCUCAAGGAAGAUAAUGACGGUACUUGAUGAGGAAGCCCCGGCAAACUACGUCCAAGCAGCCGCGGUAAUACGUGGGGGGCUAGCGUUAUCCGGAAGUACUGGUCGUAAAGGGUGCGGAGGUGGUUUUUUAUGUCAGGGGUGAAAGGCUACGGCUAAACCGUAGUAAGCCUUUGAAACUGGGGAACUUGAGUGCAGGAGAGGAGAGUGGAAGUCCUAGUGUAGGGGUGAAAUGCGUAGAUAUUAGGAGGAACACCAGUUGCGAAGGCGGCUCUCUGGACUGUAACUGACACUGAGGCACGAAAGCGUGGGGAGCAAACAGGAUUAGAUACCCCAGUAGUC